AUUGAACGCUGGCGGCAGGCCUAACACAUGCAAGUCGAGCGGAUGAGAGGAGCUUGCUCCUUGAUUCAGCGGCGGACGGGUGAGUAAUGCCUAGGAAUCUGCCUGGUAGUGGGGGACAACGUUUCGAAAGGAACGCUAAUACCGCAUACGUCCUACGGGAGAAAGCAGGGGACCUUCGGGCCUUGCGCUAUCAGAUGAGCCUAGGUCGGAUUAGGUAGUAGGGGGGGUAAUGGCCCACCUAGGCGACGAUCCGUAACUGGUCUGAGAGGAUGAUCAGUCACAUUGGAACUGAGACACGGUCCAGACUACUACGGGAGGCAGCAGUGGGGAAUAUUAGACAAUGGGCGAAAGCCUGAUCCAGCCAUGCCGCGUGUGUGAGAAAGGUCUUCGGAUUGUAAAGCACUUUAAGUUGGGAGGAAGGGCAGUUAGUUAAUACCUGACUGUUUUGACGUUACCAACAGAAUAAGCACCGGCUAACUUCGUGCCAGCAGCCGCAGUAA
rnacentral:rRNA from 1 species